rnacentral:rRNA from 1 species
ACGAACGCUGGCGGCGUGCUUAACACAUGCAAGUCGAACGGAAAGGCCCUGCUUUUGUGGGGUGCUCGAGUGGCGAACGGGUGAGUAACACGUGAGUAACCUGCCCUUGACUUUGGGAUAACUUCAGGAAACUGGGGCUAAUACCGGAUAGGAGCUCCUGCUGCAUGGUGGGGGUUGGAAAGUUUCGGCGGUUGGGGAUGGACUUGCGGCUUAUCAGCUUGUUGGUGGGGUAGUGGCUUACCAAGGCUUUGACGGGUAGCCGGCCUGAGAGGGUGACCGGCCACAUUGGGACUGAGAUACGGCCCAGACUCCUACGGGAGGCAGCAGUGGGGAAUAUUGCACAAUGGGCGGAAGCCUGAUGCAGCAACGCCGCGUGCGGGAUGACGGCCUUCGGGCUGUAAACCGCUUUCGCCUGUGACGAAGCGUGAGUGACGGUAAUGGGUAAAGAAGCACCGGCUAACUACGUG